rnacentral:lncRNA from 1 species
AACCAGUCUUAUUGGAUCAUAUCUAUAAUCAAACCAGGAAUUUCUUGUGUAACACAAAUCUCCUUUAGUAUUACAGCAACUCAUCACCUGAGGAGAGUGAUGCUGUAUCUUUUGUCUUAGUGACAUAAGAAUCUAAUGUGCUUGUCUAUAUUGGAUGAGGAAUUAAAGACCUAUCUUGGAAUUCAUUUUACAACCAUCUUGAGGGAAAACACAAAG